rnacentral:rRNA from 1 species
UGAAUCCGGGUCGCGGACAGUGCCUGGUGGGUAGUUUGACUGGGGCGGUCUCCUCCCAAAGAGUAACGGAGGAGCACGAAGGUUGGCUAAUCCUGGUCGGACAUCAGGAGGUUAGUGCAAUGGCAUAAGCCAGCUUAACUGCGAGACGGACAGGUCGAGCAGGUACGAAAGUAGGUCAUAGUGAUCCGGUGGUUCUGAAUGGAAGGGCCAUCGCUCAACGGAUAAAAGGUACUCCGGGGAUAACAGGCUGAUACCGCCCAAGAGUUCAUAUCGACGGCGGUGUUUGGCACCUCGAUGUCGGCUCAUCACAUCCUGGGGCUGAAGUCGGUCCCAAGGGUAUGGCUGUUCGCCAUUUAAAGUGGUACGCGAGCUGGGUUCAGAACGUCGUGAGACAGUUCGGUCCCUAUCUGCCGUGGGCGUUGGAUGAUUGAAGGGAGUUGCUCCUAGUACGAGAGGACCGGAGUGAACGAACCUCUGGUGUUCGGGUUGUCACGCCAGUGGCACUGCCCGGUAGCUAAGUUCGGAAUCGAUAACCGCUGAAAGCAUCUAAGCGGGAAGCGAGCCCUGAGAUGAGUCAUCCCUGACCCCUUGAGGGUCCUAAAGGGCCGUUGGAGACCACAACGUUGAUAGGUGGGGUGUGUAAGCGCGGCGACGUGUUGAGCUAACCCAUACUAAUUACCCGUGAGGCUUAACC